AGUCGAGCGAGCUUGCCUAGAUGAUUUUAGUGCUUGCACUAAAUGAAACUUGAUACAAGCGAGCGGCGGACGGGUGAGUAACACGUGGGUAACCUGCCCAAGAGACUGGGAUAACACCUGGAAACAGAUGCUAAUACCGGAUAACAACACUAGACGCAUGUCUAGAGUUUGAAAGAUGGUUCUGCUAUCACUCUUGGAUGGACCUGCGGUGCAUUAGCUAGUUGGUAAGGUAACGGCUUACCAAGGCAAUGAUGCAUAGCCGAGUUGAGAGACUGAUCGGCCACAUUGGGACUGAGACACGGCCCAAACUCCUACGGGAGGCAGCAGUAGGGAAUCUUCCACAAUGGACGAAAGUCUGAUGGAGCAACGCCGCGUGAGUGAAGAAGGGUUUCGGCUCGUAAAGCUCUGUUGGUAGUGAAGAAAGAUAGAGGUAGUAACUGGCCUUUAUUUGACGGUAAUUACUUAGAAAGUCACGGCUAACUACGUGCCAGCAGCCGCGGUAAUACGUAGGUGGCAAGCGUUGUCCGGAUUUAUUGGGCGUAAAGCGAGUGCAGGCGGUUCAAUAAGUCUGAUGUGAAAGCCUUCGGCUCAACCGGAGAAUUGCAUCAGAAACUGUUGAACUUGAGUGCAGAAGAGGAGAGUGGAACUCCAUGUGUAGCGGUGGAAUGCGUAGAUAUAUGGAAGAACACCAGUGGCGAAGGCGGCUCUCUGGUCUGCAACUGACGCUGAGGCUCGAAAGCAUGGGUAGCGAACAGGAUUAGAUACCCUGGUAGU
rnacentral:rRNA from 1 species